rnacentral:rRNA from 1 species
GACGAACGCUGGCGGCGUGCUUAACACAUGCAAGUCGAACGGAAAGGCCCUGCUUUUGCGGGGUGCUCGAGUGGCGAACGGGUGAGUAACACGUGAGUAACCUGCCCUUGACUGUGGGAUAACUUCAGGAAACUGGGGCUAAUACCGGAUAUGAGCUCCUGCUGCAUGGUGGGGGUUGGAAAGUGUCGGCGGUGGGGGAUGGACUCGCGGCUUAUGAGCUUGUUUGUGAGGUAGUGGAUUACCAAGGCUUUGACGGGUAGCCGGCCUGAGAGGGUGACCGGCCACCUUGGGCCUGAGAUACGGCCCAGACUCCUACGGGAGGCAGCAGUGGGGAAUAUUGCAGAAUGGGCGGAAGCCUGAUGCAGCAACGCCGCGUGCGGGAUGACGGCCUUCGGGUUGUAAACCGCUUUCGCAUGUGACGAAGCGUGAGUGACGGUAAUGGGUAAAGAAGCACCGGCUAACUACGUG